AUAAACUUAAGAUUGAUCCACUGCGGAGGGGUUUCUGUAAAAAUGUAAGACAUUUUCUUCUGUAUUUCUCCUUACUGCUGCCUGUGUUUAUCAAACUAGUACAUUUUACACUGUUUUAAGUUGUUUUCCUGUGUUGUUUUUGCCUGUACUUUAUUUAAAGUAAGACCUGACGGGGUGAAGCUAGCGUUAGCUUAGCGGGUUUGCUGAUUCUCAUUAAGGAAAGUACCUAUUGGCUGUCCUAAAAGUUGCUAGAAGAAAUGACGCCAUCGCCUAAUUUGCAUAAUACACGUGGUUGUGGGAGAGAAAAAGUGAGUAAAAACACCCUAAAUAUGUUAGAACUACAAAUUAACUCUCAAUAAAUGAACGACUUAUUUUGCCUUUGAAAUAGGCAGUCACUUCUAAAAAUAACUUAAUAACUUUAAUGCUUUGUAUAAAUCAUUUUUACACUGUUUUGUUAAAUGUUAGCAUAAAAGUAGCAGUUAGCAGGAACUGCUAUUCUACGUUCAACCAUCCUCUUUAUCCGGGCUUGGGACUGUCAAAUUGACCUUAAAAGAGACACUUUUAGGUAGAGUUACUUCAUUUUUUACUUUUUUUAUUUCAAACUUAUAAUAGACAGUUGUUCAAUGAUGAGCUAGCUAGCUAGAUGUUUAGCUUUGACUUUGCUUUGCUCUGACUGAGACUCCACUGUGAGUGUUGUGAGGCGGGGCUCACGCUGAGGACAGUAACUGAAGAGCAUGUGUGUUCUCAGAGUCUGCAAAAGUCUCCAAUAACACCACAAAAACUCGCUAGAUUUGUCGCUAGUCGCUUAAAAAUAGUCACUAGAGGGUCUAAAAAGUCGCAAAAUAUAGUGACAAAGUCGCUAAGUUGGCAACACUGCUUCUGAGUACCAAAUGCGGCUGGCAUGCUAAGCUAACACCCCCUAGCAUGCUAAGCUAACACCCCUAACAUGCUAAGCUGAACCCUGCAGGUGCUGUUAGAAAGAUUAUCUAUAGGUUAACCUGUAACUCAGUUUUUAAUGUGUAAACAGUGAAAUUAUGACAGUGUUCUUUAUAAAGCGCUGUUACUAAUUCAGAUUAUUUUGUCCCCAGUGAUGAAUGCGAUUACCAGGCCAGGGAAGAGGCUCUUAUAACGGGUGGAUUGCAGUGUCAUUCCAAAUCGACCCACAAUUACCCUCUGCCAUUCUGCCAAUCAGAGAGCUCUGCUGGUCCAAAUGGGGGUGGGCUAUCUGUAUAUAAGCUGUUCCAGGAAGUUGGCCCGGCUCUCUUUUUUACUCAUUUGUGGUGGCUGGAUUUUCUUUGUAAAUCUUAGUGUAGAAUGUUUUAUUAUUUUCUUUUCUUUGGUACCGUCCAUGUUAGCCCCAUGUUAGCCCCUCCUCCAGCCCCCCACCCCCCCUUUAACAUUACUAUGUUUGUCUUUUUGUAGUUUGGUCCUGUGAUUUAUUAAACUACAUGUAAGAGUCUAUAA